CGCUCCUUCCCUGCGGUGUCCAGGUCCUUCUUAUCAGAUGAGUCACCCGCCAUCUGGAAAGAGGGAGAAAGAAGGCUAUAUGGCCAGCGGAGGGGGGGCUGAAGCACACUUGAACAGUCCACUAUGGAAGAAGAGCAGGAUGAGCGGAGAUUGUGGACAUGAGCGCGAGAGCAGCACGCGGAUCGGGAUGCGGAGUGAGGAGGAGAGACUCCAGACUUUCCAAAACUGGCCCACAGACGCGCCCGUGAGUCCUGCGGAGCUGGCCCGGGCUGGCUUUCACUAUCUGGGCUACGGUGACACGGUGCAGUGCUUCUGCUGCGAUGGGAUCCUGAGGCACUGGGUUCACGGAGACACUCCGCGGGGGGAGCAUGAGAGGCACUUCCCCGCAUGCGGCUUGAUGCUGGGCAGGGAUGUGGGCAAUGUUCCGCUGGGCUCGUCUGACUCUGUGGACGGGCAGCUCUUGAGUCAGCUGCAGCGGCUGACCGUGGACGAGCAUGUGUUGUCUGGCCAGGCGGUGUACCCAGAGAUGGAGUCGGAGGACAGCAGACUGUCCACUUAUAACAACUGGCCCACAGGAGCGUCGGUGCAGGCGGACGCGCUGGCGCAGGCGGGCUUCUUCUACACAGGUCAUGGUGACAAUGUGAAGUGUUUCUUCUGUGAUGGUGGUCUGAGGAACUGGGAACCGGGGGAUGACCCCUGGCAGGAACACGCCAAAUGGUUUCCUCAAUGUGAAUAUUUGCUUCAAUCCAGAGGACGGGAAUAUGUGAGCAAUGUCCAACAGUCUUACUUCAACAUGCAUGAGAGCAUGGGUGGAUCUCCGUCAUCAACUGCAGGAAACAUUACAUCAGAGGUGCUGCGUGGGCAGAACUCAGUGGCGGCAGCCAUGUUGUCCCCUGUGGUGCAGGCGGUGCUGCAGAUGGGUUUCCAGCACUCGCUAGUGGAGAGUCUGGUGCAGUCACGCUACUUGCUCACCGGCUCACACUACACCUCAGUCUCUGACCUGGUGACCGACGUCCUGCAGGCCGAGGAGGAGGAAAGGCAGACGGGGGAGCCCAGACCAGGUGUUUCCAAACCCUCUAUCAGUAUACAACAAAUCUCAAUUACAUAACCUAAAGUUUACAUCGGUUGAAGACCUCUGGUUUAAAGGAUGCUAUUGACCAUUGAAUUUAAUGCGGAGGAAAACAAGGGAUAGACUUACAGUCUUUACACUGUCAUGUACUGUAUAAAGUUUUCACAGCUCACAACUUUCAAAAGUUUUAUGGAGUUUUACUGUACUGAAAGUUUUUUCCAGAAAGAUGUUUCAUCAGCUGAACCAUCUGUAUGUUGUUAAAAACAACAGUACAAUCGAUUGAACGCAUUGUACUUCUAUCCCUCACAGCUUCAUUUUCAUUCCUGUCAAAAAUGAAAUAUGGUGCUACCCUGACUAGAUAAAGGAGGAGAUAUUUGAAGGGAUAUUUCACUCUAAAAUUAAAAUUCAGUCAUUAUUCACUAAUUCUGGUGUUGUUGAUGUCGCACGCCCCUUUUUUUUUUUGACCACAAAAGGAAAAAUAAAAAAAACAUGUCCUGUUCAUGCUUGUCCUUUUAAUAACUACAAACAGCGACUGUAAUGUUAAUAUAACGUUUGUUUAAGUUAUCUGGUCUUUAAUAAAACUAUCAAAACAUUAACAGAAAUAUUAUUUACAUAAUUUAUUUCUGUGACGUUUUAGUUGGAUGUUCAUCUAACAUUACAACUACUUAUCUCAGACCAUUCAUAGAACAUUCAAAAGUAACAAUCCUUUAAUUUUUCUGGUAACAUUUUAGUUAGGCAUGCACCGAUAUGAAAAUUUUGGCCGAUACUGAUAACCGAUAAUUCUAUAUAAAUGAAAGCCUAUAACGAUAUGUUGCCCGAUAAAUCAAAAUCAAAUGUUUAUGUAAUUUUUGAGAGCCUGAUUACAAAAAAAAGUCUCACCAUUAAAUGCCAUUAAACACUUCAACAUAAAUCAAACAUAAAGCAGCCUUACAAAAUUACUUAAAGUUACAUGUAAAAAAAAUAAAAAAUCAUGUGCCAUGGAUAAAUUAAACGGAAUAGCCGCCGCACCGACAAUUAAAUAAUUUUAAUUAAACCAUAUUGUUGAUGAAUAUAAUAAGAUAAAAAUAAAAGUGGUGGUUAUUAUUAUUAAUAUAUCAAUGAUUUUGAAAAAGUAUGUUAAAUUAAUACCACUGUUUCAAAUAGCAGCAUGCAGUUUUAGCGCUGCUGAAGAGCUGAAUGAACAUUUUCAACUGAAGAGCUUAUUAUUUAUACAACAUAAACAUAAUAUUAUAACUUAUAUAUGCACAAAAAGAUUUAAAUGCGCGAGUUACGCGCUAAUAAGAUGUGAUGCUCUUGGCUCUUCCCGCAAUGAUGCGCUGAAACCAAUAUUUAUUAUGGCUUAUGAGAUAAAUCAGCUAUAUAUGCAUAAAAUAAACACAAUUUACAACCUACAAUUGCACAAAAGGCAGCAAAUGCACAACCAAACUUAACUGUGCUAGUCAUGAAUGUGUAGAUCCGUUGUGGAUGCGCUCUUCCCGUAACAACGUGCUAAAACACGGGCGCACAAAGAUUCCAUGAAUUAUUUAACAGUAAUGUUCUCAUUAUAAUAUGACAGACUUGCCCUACACAUGUUGCACUUCACUGUAUUUUCCUUUUUGAAGUGAUUCCAAUAAUAUUUCAAGCAAUUAAAAACCAUCAUGGCGAACAGUGCGAAUCCGAAGUGCCUCUGCAGGAAAUAAUGCAUUAUUUAUUGGCCGAUAUAUCGUGCAUCUCUAAUUUUAGUUAAGGGUCCAAUUCUCAUUAUUAACUAGUAUGCAUAUUACUUUACAUUAUUGGCUGUUUAUUAGUACAUGCUGUUUAAGCGCAUAUUAAUGCCUUAUUCAGCAGGACCACAUUUUAGAUCCCUUAAUCCUAAACUUAGCAACUAACUUACUAACUAUUAAUAAAUAGCACUAAACUAAAUUAAGAGUUUACUGAGGUUAAAGCCAUAGUUAGUAGUUACUUAAUAGUGAGAAAUGGUCCCUAAACUAAAGUGGGACCAUGUUUUCUUUAACGUUUAUUUAAUGUAAGUUUUUAAAACAUCUAAAAAAACAUUUUGAAUAUUUACAGAACAUUAAGAAAUAAGGUUAAUAACUUAAUGGGAACAUUAACAAAAUGUUCUUUGAACAUAUUGUUUGCUGGUGACCACCUUCAAGCUUUAAAAAAGGAUGCAAAGGUAUCAAAAUACUCCAUGCGACUUAUGCCGUAUAUUUACAGUGUUCUAAAGGUAUGCGAUAGGGUUUGGAUGAAAAACAAACUGGAAUUCAAGUUAUUUAGCAAAAAUUCUGACCUUGGCAUUUUUUCGUUUUAUAGAGAUUUAUUCCAUGGAACACAACAUUCUAUUUUUUGUGUUCCACAGAAUAAAAACAGCCCAAGAUUUGCAUCAACAUUUUUUGCAUUCCACUGCACUAAUUUUAAUGUUUUUUUUUUUUUUUGCUAUUCCAUAUAAACAAGAACUUGAUGAAUGUAUUUGACAAUUUUUUUGCUCUGCACCUCACUGCUUUUUCUUGCAUGAGCGACAUGUUUUUAAUUUACCAUCAACAACAUUAAAUGAAAAUAAGUUUUUGAAUACAUUUGACAAUCUGCAUUCUUUUCUAUCCUCUUGGGUCUCACACUUGUAGAUGUGUUUUGUGUGAGCACCCCCCUAAGAUCUGAAAUGACUUAUGGAUUAGUAAAUAAUGACAUACUUUAAAUUCGUGAACUUGUCUUUUAAUUUUCUGAUAAUGUGUGCCAUUCAUUCCUCUAACAUGUGGAUGGUUUGUUCCCUCAGAGACUUUGGGGAGCCAGAGAACACCAACAACGCAGGUCUCAGACAGGGAGAAAGUGCGAUCAGACCUGAGUCCAGAGGAACAGCUGCGACAGCUUCAGGAAGAGAGGACCUGUAAGGUCUGCAUGGACAAACCCGUCUCCAUGGUCUUC